CCUACGGGACGCAGCAGUCGGGAAUAUUGCGCAAUGGAGGAAACUCUGACGCAGUGACGCCGCGUGCAGGAAGAAGGUUUUCGGAUUGUAAACUGCUUUAGACAGGGAAGAAAAAAGACAGUACCUGUAGAAUAAGCUCCGGCUAACUACGUGCCAGCAGCCGCGGUAAUACGUAGGGAGCAAGCGUUAUCCGGAUUUACUGGGUGUAAAGGGAGCGUAGACGGACUUGCAAGUCUGACGUGAAAAUCCGGGGCCCAACCCCGGAACUGCAUUGGAAACUGUAUAUCUAGAGUGUCGGAGAGGCA
rnacentral:rRNA from 1 species